rnacentral:rRNA from 1 species
AACGAACGCUGGCGGCAGGCCUAAAACAUGCAAGUCGAACGCCCUAGCAAUAGGGAGUGGCGCACGGGUGAGUAACGCGUGGGAACGUGCCCUUCAGUACGGAACAACGUCGGGAAACUGACACUAAUACCGUAUAAUAUCUCCGGAUCAAAGAUUUAUCGCUGAAGGAGCGGCCCGCGUCUGAUUAGCUAGUUGGUGUGGUAAUGGCUCACCAAGGCUACGAUCAGUAGCUGGUCUGAGAGGAUGAUCAGCCACACUGGGACUGAGACACGGCCCAGACUCCUACGGGAGGCAGCAGUUAGGAAUAUUGGAAAAUGGGCGAAAGCCUGAUCCAGCCAUGCCGCGUGUGUGAUGAAGGCCUUAGGGUUGUAAAGCACUUUCGUUGGGGAUGAUAAUGACCGUACCCAAAGAAGAAGCCACGGCUAAUUUCGUGCCAGCAGCCGCCGUAA